rfam:Delta proteobacterium MLMS-1 ctg1012, whole genome shotgun sequence.
GAAGUCCCCCGCAUGAUAAAGGCUAGCGACCAGUCAUGGCCCCGAGUCAUGCGUCGGCCCGUCGUAAGUCGGGCGGCGAAGCGUUGACAUACGGCAGGUGGGACGUAGUUGAUAUUUAAAGUUUUUGUGGAAAGUAAGAGAAUG